CUGGAGCCGAAGGCGGCGGGAGCUGGAACUGGUCAAUGGAGACUGUCCGAACUGGGCAGACGAGGAGCGGGACCGACCGAGAGAGUCGGCAGAGUCGGCCAGAUCUGCAGAUGAAGGAGCACAACCUUAGAAAGGUUAAGUAACGUUUCAGAUCACAAAUCCAAAAAUGCUGGAUCCAAGAUCCAGACUCAGAUAUAACUUCUAAAAUGUAAAUUCUGUACUCUUGUGGUUCUUCUCUUUGUCUUCGGUUUUCAGCUGUUGUACUGUCUUGUGAACCAGUGUGGUUUUCUUUUCAAUUGCCUUGUCUGGAGUUUGGAACACCUUCUGAAUCUGUGGUUUGGUAUCUUCCAU